AUUGAACGCUGGCGGCAUGCUUUACACAUGCAAGUCGAACGGUAACAGGCCGCAAGGUGCUGACGAGUGGCGAACGGGUGAGUAAUGCAUCGGAACGUGCCCAGUCGUGGGGGAUAACGCAGCGAAAGCUGCGCUAAUACCGCAUACGAUCUAUGGAUGAAAGCGGGGGACCGUAAGGCCUCGCGCGAUUGGAGCGGCCGAUGUCAGAUUAGGUAGUUGGUGGGGUAAAGGCUCACCAAGCCAACGAUCUGUAGCUGGUCUGAGAGGACGACCAGCCACACUGGGACUGAGACACGGCCCAAACUCCUACGGGAGGCAGCAGUGGGGAAUUUUGGACAAUGGGCGCAAGCCUGAUCCAGCAAUGCCGCGUGCAGGAAGAAGGCCUUCGGGUUGUAAACUGCUUUUGUACGGAACGAAACGGUCCUGGUUAAUACCUGGGGCUAAUGACGGUACCGUAAGAAUAAGCACCGGCUAACUACGUGCCAGCCGCCGCCGUAAGAC
rnacentral:rRNA from 1 species